CACGCACACACGCGCGGCAUAUCAAUAAGCGGAGGAAAAGAAACUAACAAGGAUUCCCUUAGUAACGGCGAGUGAAGCGGGAAGAGCUCAAAUUUGAAAUCUUCAAGGUUCUACCUUGACGAAUUGUAGUUUAUAGAAGUGUUUUCUGUUAGUAGAGUGGCUAAAAGUUCUUUGGAAUAGGACAUCAUAGAGGGUGAGAAUCCCGUAUUUGGUCAUUCUUCUAGCGUUGUGAUACACUUUCAACGAGUCGGAUUGUUUGGGAAUGCAGUCCAAAAUGGGUGGUAAAUUUCAUCUAAAGCUAAAUAUUGGCGAGAGACCGAUAGCGAACAAGUACCGUGAGGGAAAGAUGAAAAGAACUUUGAAAAGAGAGUUAAACAGUACGUGAAAUUGUCAAAAGGGAAGCGUUUGACACCAGUGUUGUUUUUCCGAAAAUCAAUUACGAAUGUUUUGUUUUUGAGAAGUUAUGACUUCAUCGGCUUGCUUCUUUCUUUACGAAACUUUCUUAAUGCACUUUUCGGUUAACAAGUCAACAUCAAUUUCUUUUGUUGUAAAAGGGUACGAGGAAGGUGGCUUUCUUUUCGGAGAAAGUGUUUAUAGCCUUGUGCCUCUGCAAUCGGAGAGAUUGAGGUCUGCAGCGUAGAUCCUUCGGGGUUAGAUACGUUUGUGCUAAGUUAUAGCUUUUCAUAGACAACUUGUUGACUAUGUUUAGUCUUGUAGCUUACUCGCUUAUGCUAUUUUACCUACGCUUAGGAUGUUGAUAGUCACAGCGUGUAC
rnacentral:rRNA from 1 species